UGAAAAACCACUUUUUCUGCCUCAAUUAAAUGAUCUUCUUCUUCUGGUUGAUUGGCCCGUUUGGUCGAUCGAGGUGACGCUGGAAGAGUAGUAUAAAGUGAUUAGCCUCAGGGCAGGAAAUGCUUAAGUAUAACACGUUUGCUUUGCAACCGUUUAUAGACUCACUAAUACUAGAGCACAGUUUUGUUCCAUUUUCUACCAUAUCUAUGAAGGCAUGUAGAGCACUAACCAGUGAGGACAGGAAACUUCGUCACAAGGAAAAAACAGAAAGAGAUAGCUGAGUUGUGCAUGCAGUAUACCACCAAUCAUCAUGGUUAUCUAUCAAGUGAUUUAUGUGGUUCCUAAUACUUAGGCGGCCAGAGAAGAAGAUUAUAAUGAAAAUGCACUAGCACCUGAACUCUCCCUAGCUAGAUGACGAAUGUCAAUUAGUUGUUGACAGGUACUGCUUUAAAGGAUGAUCAUGUUAUUGCUGGGGAUAUAGAUCCAAAUUUGCAAUUCAUAUGACUUUGGACUUGAUGUAUAUGGACUCGAUCACUCCAUAAAAAAGGUAGACAGAUGAAGGGUAUGUAUUGUAUUCUACACUUUAGUUAGUUGACAGUUACUUUAGUUAAGCUUGUUGUAUUUUCCCUUUUACUGUUUCUUUUAGUUACUAGCUUGUUAUUCUGUUUUCAGCUCUUAGCUAUGUUCGUUAGAGUUCUUAAUUGUGUGUGUAACUAGUUCUCUUUGUACUCAUUUGAUCAAGAACAAUAACUUAUAUUCAUUUUCUC